rnacentral:rRNA from 1 species
CCUGACCUCGGAUCAGACGUGAAUACCCGCUGAAGCUUAAGCAUAUCAC